GCCCAUCUUCCUCCAUUUCAUCCGUGGCUCACCUGCCACAGCAUGGCCUGAUAAGCAGUGUAUAGGUCUGUGCCAGAAUGGGAACCUACAAACCCCAGGCCGCCAAAGAGGAGCACACAAACUUAACCUCUACACCACUGGGCUGGCCCCAUUUUUGGUGAUUUCUAACGGGUAAAAACUAGGCAGGGAGAUUAGGUAAGAUGAUAUAGCAAAAAUUCAGGCAUUAAGAAAUAAGGUUAGACUAGGCUGGCGAUGGCGGCCAUGGAUUGGAAAGGAAGGAAGGAUGGAUGCAGCAUCAUAAGGGAAAAAUUUGCUUCUUUCCCUUUGUCUUUUCAGCCAUUUGGGCUUAACGGUGUUCAGUGCUCCUGAUUUAUUUCCCUUCCCAUUUAUAUUUUCCUUCUUCCCUUGAUAAUCUACUUUUGCUUUCCCAUUUUUCCCUCUCUUCUCUCCUUUGCUUGCGUUCUUAUCACCUUCCCUGAUAGGACGAUGACUGAAUCAGGCAGGUAGACAUCAAAUGGGAGAUCUGAGUAGAAACUAACUAUAAGAUUUACUAAUUAGAGUAUGUUGCUGCUUAAAACAUUUUUUUAACCUUUCAUCUGCAGUUAAAAAGAAGAAAAGAAAGGUGAGGAGGCAAAAAAGGAGUAGAGAGGAAAAGGGAGAGACCCAUUUAUCCAUUCAUUCAAGAAGUGCUGUGUUUCCAGAGAAAGAGAGGGUGCCAAAGAGAUAGAGAAACACCACACAAUAAUUUGUGUUAUUGUAGUUGUAUCAUCUAUUUCCCCUUCUAACUCAGUUGGGUAAAGUAGAGAUGCCAGAUGGGAGGCUAAAGACUAAGGUGACAUGGGCAGUCUCCCUCCCUCCCUUAUUGCCUGCCGCUUCUCAUAUCAAAAGAUGGAGUCUACAUCCCUCCCCCUAGGCCUCAGUGACUGGCUCAACCAAUAGGAUGCUGUGGAGGUGACUUUCUGGGACUUCUGAGGCUAGGCUGUAAGAAGCCUGGUCUUUUGGAAUAUUUCCUCUUGGGAUGCUUUCUUUUGGAACCCAGCCACCACUCUGAGAGAUGCCCAAGUCACAUGAAGAGGCCACAUGCAGGCCCUCCAGUUGGCAGCCCCGAAUAAGAUAACAGCCAGCAUCCUCAGCAAACACAGAAAUGAACCAUCUUGACAUCCAGCACAAUAGAGGCAAAGAGGAUUUCAGCCCAAGAUGACAUCUGACUGUACUUCCUAGGAAACCCCAAGCAAGAACUGCCCAGCGAAUCCCAGCCAAUCCACAGAACAAUAAGAGACAAGAAUAAGUUACUGUUUCAAGCUACUCCACUUUGUUGUGGUUUGUUAUACAGCAAUAGAUAACUUUUUUCAUCCUUACAUGAGACACAAAGAAUAUCGAAAGUUUGAAGAUUCAUAAUGCCACCCGGAAUGCAUUUAUCCUUAAAUGACUUAACUGAUGUCUGCUGAGGUUCUCAAGGCCACAGGAUUAUGGAGUCAUGCUGAACAUCACUCUGUCUCUUAGGGUUGGAAGUACAAGUGCACCUUGUGAAGCCUGGAGACAGAAGUUACAAGCUUGAUUUUUUCUCCAUUAAUGUUUUUUUUCUGUUUUGUCCCCCUCACCUCACUCUAGGCUGCGUCAUGUUUCCCAGAAGGACCACAUAUUGCAUUUGGAGGUGGUCCUCCUUUUCCAACUUUGUUCUGAUUUUAUGUCAUUUUUACUUGGUGUUGAGCUCACAUCUCAGUUCUGCAAAGGAAAGCUG
ensembl:lncRNA